GGCGCCAAACCGCUGCGCCACCCAGGGAUCCCCAGAAACUAUUUCUUAUGUAACCUUUCUAUUGAGAAAAGUUUUUCAAAAAGGGUCGAAUCUUCAUAAAUGCAUGUAAAAUGUGUUUGCAAAAUUACCUCACUAUUACAAUUUAGUGAGCUUUUUAAUGUGUUCAUACUUAUUUAUAAGAAUAAAAUGAAAGCAUUCCAGCAUUGAAAAUCACCAUUAAAUACAACCUUUAGCCCUAACAAAGACAUGUAUAAAAAGAUGUUCAAAUGCAGAUUUGAAUUAACAUGUUCUCACCCCCAACAAUUUAGAUUCCAUAGCCUCAAUGUCAAUAGCACUAUUUUAGGAAUAUAUACAGUUCUGCUUUUAUGUCAAAAAGUCGCUCUGCAUCUUAACCCUGCAAUGAACUUCUUUGCCCCUAAGCAGUACUAUUUCAAGAAAAAUGAUAGGAAAAUGGUUGCCCACAGAGGAAUGGAGACGGUGACCCUGUCAUUUGCUUAGUAAGAUGUGAGUUGCUGAACAUUGUCUAACAGGUGCCUGGAGUCUCUUGUGCGAUUCUCAGAACAGCUACAUUUGCACAAAUUUUUGACUACAUGAAGUAGACAGUGGAGAAAAUUACAGUGGUAAGUCAAGAAACAAAAAUUAUUCCCUGUCUGUUACCUGAUUAUUUUAGGUGAAAGUGUUUCAGGGCUAGAUUACUUGGAAGAACAUUUUUAAAUCUCCCCUUUGUUUUGUAAAUUUAGUUACCGUAAGAUCCCAGGCUCCUUAUCAUAUCUUUCUACAAAAAAAGAUACUUCUCAGUAAAGCACUUUGAAUAUUGGUAUAUAAGUUGUUCUCUAAGUCAGCUACAUAUUUAGUACCUACUUUCAUCUAAUAAAGGGUGCAAUAUAUUUGCUGGGUCAACCAGAAGUUGAAUAGGCAAUAUUUCAAAGGGAAACAAUUAGGACAUUACAAUAUUUUUUGCUUUUUGACCAUCUCAUAUACAUGAUGCACAAAAACGAAUAAAUGCUAAGAGAAAGUCUCUAAAUAACAGAAAAAUUUUACCAAAGGCAACACUAAACUGUGCUUUGCUUGUUGUUCUUGUUGAAAGCAUUCCUUAAUGUUGAUCUGUUUAUUCUUUUAGAAUGUUGUCGGGGGAGAAACUCAAGCUGAUAAAUCAUGUUUUUCUUUGAAUUUGUUUUUUUGAGUCCCACAGUUCGGUAUUUACAUAAACGGGUGCCCUGCUGCUGUGAAAUCGCUCAUCUAUGUUUGUCUAGAAACUGUUUGCUAUAAAGCUAAACCCAUAUGUUUUGCAAGGCUUUUUUUCCCUCUUAAAAAUAAAGCUGAAUGUCUCCUUUCCACGAGCAUUGAUGAGUAUUCUAGAACUGUUUUCUAUAAAGUCUCCAUACAAAGGAGGAUUAGGAAAUUCAUAAUAAUAACUAAUCUAACAUGCCUUCACAGUUAGUUUAUUAGCAGGUUCUAAACCCUCAGUAACUUGGCUACAAGAAAAAAAAAUACAUAGCUACUAUAAUCAGAGUUUAGACCAUAAAAUUGCAAGUAGUCUUUUUUUUCCCCAAGUAUCACAAAUGUUUCAAUUUUAUUUUUCCUAGUUUGGGGAAAUAUGAGGCAGGCAGUUUAAAAACUAAAAAUUCCUUUAAAAGCCAUGAUCAUAAGGUUGUGAGGUUGAACCCAAACUCCUGAAUUUAUUUGUGAUAAGUCAUAGUAUGUAGUCUUUUUAAUCUUGCCAAAAGAAAGAAAAAAAAAAUACUGCCUGCAAAAGUAUUUGCAGGAGCUUUUUCAGGACAUUGCUAAGAACUCCUAAAUGUAAUCCCAAGACAACCUUCCAAUAAUAAGAAACAAGUUUAGAUUUCAUCAGUGGGGAAAAUUUAGAGAUCAAAUACUGUUAUACUUUCUAGGCCCUUACUACUAAUACUAGCUAUGGGUGGGAGGCAGAAAGGCUAAUGGUUUUAAGACUUUAGUUCUCUUUUCUACCUCCUCAACUCAUUAAGUAUUCGAUUUAAAAACAAGCUGUUCCAUAACUGGAAGCCUGUAUCUCCCUUUCCUUUCACCCAUUUUGUCCAUCCUCCCUGUCCCCCAUAACCAUCAGUUUGUUCUCUGUAUUUAUAGGUCUGAUAAGUCAUGAGAAUAAAAGGUACAACAUGGGGAAUAUAGUCAAUGGCAUUGUAAUAGCCUUGUAUGGGGAUAGAUGGUAGCCACACUUGGGAGCAUCGCAUAAUGCAAAAUCCUGUGAAAUUACUAUGUCGUAUACCUGAAACUAAUGUAACAUUGUGUGUCAGUGAUACUCAAAUAAAAAAAAAAGUAAAUAAAAACAAGCAGUGUUUUCACUCUUUAUUUCCCAUCCCAAGUUGGGAUGAUGGAAAGAGUUCUCUAUUUUGUCAUGCUAUGCUCCCUGCCUUUUCACUCCUUUUCUUUUCAAAAGAGAUAAACAUGUUCUUGUCAUUCACAGCUGUUCUUCCAGAUGUUCCUGAAUCAGGACCAAAAUCAGCUCAUCUGUGCUUUUUAAAUGUGGUCUUCUUGGGAAAUCUCUGUCUUCUCUAGUAGGAUAAAAGAACGUCAUCUACCACUGCCAGCCUCCAUCAAUGAGCUCUACCAUUAUCUUGUUUGAUGCUUCAAAAGUACAGCAAACGUUGAAACCAGAUAAAUGGUCAUGUUAGAAAGGUGUAGAUACUUCUCAGCGCUGAAGAUGCAGCACUAAACAAAGCAGACAGGAUCCCUGGCUUUAGGACUCACCUCCUUAGAAGCUGGAGAUAAACAAUAAGC